CCUACGGGAGACAGCAGUGGGGAAUCUUGCACAAUGGGGGAAACCCUGAUGCAGCGACGCCGCGUGAGUGAAGAAGUAUUUCGGUACGUAAAGCUCUAUCAGCAGGGAAGAAAAUGACGGUACGUGACUAAAAAGCCCCGGCUAACUACGUGCCAGCAGCCGCGGUAAUACGUAGGUGGCAAGCGUUGUCCGGAUUGACUGGGUGUAAAGGGCAUGGAGCCGGGAAGGCAAGUCAGAUGUGAAAUCCGGAGGCUCAACCUGGGAAUUGCAUUUGAAACUGUUUGUCUUGAGUACUGGAGAGGCAGGCGGAAUUCCAGGUGUAGCGGUGAAAGGCGUAGAGAUAAGGAGGAAUACCAGUGGCGAAGGCGGCCUGCUGGACAGAAACUGACGGUGAGGUGCGAAAGCGUGGGGAGCAAACAGGAUUAGAUACCCCAGUAGUC
rnacentral:rRNA from 1 species